rnacentral:rRNA from 1 species
GACGAACGCUGGCGGCGUGCCUAAUACAUGCAAGUCGAGCGAACCGGCGGAUGGGUGAGUAACGCGUGGGUAACCUGCCCUUAACUCUGGGAUACCAUCUGGAAACAGAUCCUAAUACCGGAUACUAAAGGAUGGACCUGCGUUGCAUUAGCUAGUUGGUAAGGGAACGGCUUACCAAGGCGAUGAUGCAUAGCCGAGUUGAGAGACUGAUCGGCCACAUUGGGACUGAGACACGGCCCAUACUCCUACGGGAGGCAGCAGUAGGGAAUCUUCCACAAUGGACGAAAGUCUGAUGGAGCAACGCCGCGUGAGUGAAGAAGGUUUUCGGAUCGUAAAGCUCUGUUGUUGGUGAAGCGGUAAUCAACCAGAAAGCCACGGCUAACUACGUGCCAGCAGCCGCGGUAAUUC